UAGGACUGCGUCAUCUGGAAUUUUAUUGCUCAGCUAAACAGCGUAACAUUGAUGCAUGCAACACCAUGUUAAAAACACCUACUAAUCUAAAGGCUUAUGGGGACCAAUUUAAUGCUUCAUGGCUGCCAAAGCUGGUAGAUCAAUCGGCUUUCCAUCUCCGCGAGCCAAAGCUGGUACAGGGCAAUGGCCUAUUGCCACCUCGCACUAGCAACAACUAGCAGUGACACAAAGAAAG
rnacentral:misc_RNA from 1 species